CAAAAUUAUCGCCUGUUCACCUCAGGGCGGCGCUAUUUCCAGCGCCGGGGGGCCGAACGCUGGAGAUGCUCUAAAGGCCCAGGAUCCCAUCUCCCUCCUCCCACCUCCAUCACCAUCCGCCUCCGGCGGCGCCGCCGCCCACCUUCAUAACCCACCACACAAUAGCCCUCCGCGCCAUGCCCCUGCCCGUUCCCACCUCCCGCCUCCUCGCCGCCAUCUCCGCUGCCGCGUCCUCGACUGCAGACCUCCGCCGCCUCUCCCACCUCCUCCUCACCCCCUACACCCCACUCCCCCCGCUCCGCUGCCUCAAUACCCUCCUCAUGGCCCUCGCCCGCCACCGCAUGCUCCCGGACAUGGAGUCCUUCGCAUCCCGCAUGCCCGCGCGCAACCUUCGCACGUACACCACCCUUAUCAAUGCCUACUGCCUCGCCGGCGACCUCCCUGCUGCCAAGCGGCAUCUUGCCUCCCUACUCCGCGCUGGUCUUGCGCCGGACUCUCAUGCGUAUACCUCAUUUGUUCUCGGAUAUUGUCGGGCCGGGCUGCUUUCGCACGCCUGCCGGGUGUUCGUGCUAAUGCCGCUCCGAGGAUGUGCACGCACUGUGUUCACGUACACUGCGCUGCUCCAUGGGCUGUGUGGCGCCGGUAUGGUGCGUGAGGCUGUGGCAGUGUUUGCUGGGAUGCGGGCAGACGGGUGCGCCCCUGACACACAUGUGUAUGCCACGAUGGUGCAUGGACUGUGUGGGACGGGGCGAACUGGUGAGGCAGAGGUUCUUCUCGCGGAGGCAAUGGCUGAGGGUUUUGAGCCAAAUGUGGUCGUCUACAAUGCCCUGAUUGAUGGCUACUGCAAUGCUGGGGACCUGGAGCUCGCGGUUAAGGUUUAUGAGAGGAUGGAUCUUAAGGGGUGCUCAGCGAACGUGCGAACGUAUACUGAGCUGAUAUGUGGGUUCUGCAAAUCUGGCAAGGUGGACAGAGCCAUGGUGCUGUUCAGCCGGAUGGUUGAGGCUGGUUUGGCUCCAAAUGUGGUGACAUACACGGCCUUAAUUCAGGGGCAGUGCAAUAAUGGGCAGUUGGAAUGUGCUUUUAGGAUGCUCCAAUCGAUGGAGGCCACUGAGCUGGUUCCUAGUGAGUGGACUUGCUCGAUGUUGAUUGAUGCUCUGUGCAAACGUGGAAGGGUUGGGGAAGCUCAGUUGUUUCUUGGGUCUCUUAUACAGAAAGGAUACAGAGUGAAUGAGAUUGUCUACACCAGCUUGAUUGAUGGACUGUGCAAGGCAGGAAAGGUUGAUGCUGCUGACAAGUUAAUGCAGAAAUUGGUUUCACAGGGGUUUGUGCUAGACGCUCACACAUACAGUUCACUAAUUGAUGGAUUAUGCAGGCAAAAGGAGUUGUCACAAGCGAUGUUGGUGUUGGAUGAUAUGAUGGUGAAAGGAGUACAACCCAAUGCUGUCACGUAUACCAUUCUAAUUGACGAGCUUGUUAGGGAGCUAGGAUCUGAAGGUUCAAAGAAGAUACUUAAUAAGAUGAUUGCGGCAGGAAUUAAGCCUGAUGUUUUCACCUACACAAUAUUUGUUCGCUCCUACUGUCAUGAGGGAAGGAUGGAAGAUGCUGAACAUAUGAUGGUUGAAAUGGUUGAUCAGGGCAUUUCCCCUAAUUUAGUGACAUAUAACACUUUGAUUAGUGGGUAUGCAAAUUUAGGACUAGCCAGUCAAGCAUUUUCAGUUUUCAAGCACAUGGUUGCUAGUAGGUGCAAGCCAAAUGAGGAGUCCUACACGGCCCUGCUUAGAUUAUUGGUAAAGAAAAAAUCCUCUAAUAAUAUCCUUGCCAGCUCUGUUGAUAUAUGGAAAAUAGCAGAAAUGGAAUAUCUCCAGGAGCUUCUGGAGGAGGUGGUUAAGCUUCAGUUGCUUUCAGACAUUGAAAUUUACAAUUGUUUUCUUAGGUCUUUAUGCCGAGUUGAUAGAUUGGAGGAAACCAAAAUUUUGCUCGGUGAGAUGCAGAGUGCUAACUUGACCCCUGGUGAGGAUGUAUAUACUUCAAUUAUAGGGUGUUGUUGCAGACUAAAAAUGCCAACAGAAGCUUUGACAUUUCUUGAUUCAAUGAUCAAAAGUGGUUAUUUACCACGUAUAGAAUCGUAUAGGCAUAUUAUUUGUUCUCUUUGUGAGGAGGGAAGUAUUAAGAUUGCUAAAAAGGUUUUGGGUGACAUGUUAUUGGAGGAAUACAACUACGAUGAGAUUGUUUGGAAGAUUCUGAUUGAUGGUCUAUUGCGGAAGGGCAAUGCUGCCGAGUGUUUGAUUCUGCUCUCAGUGAUGGAAGAGCAAGAUUAUCGCCCUGGUGAUGCAUUGUAUGCCAAGCUUACAGGGAAGACAAGUCAACACGUGCAACCGGAAGAGAGCGACGGCGCGCGAAACUCACGUAUGACUCAAGAGGCCUCUACGUGGACACAAAGGGGGCCUACCAGCAAUUUUUAAUAAAUUGCGGAAGCCAGGACUUGAACUCAAGACCUUAGCUCCGAUACCAUGUUAAGCUUCAUGCACUAGCCAACGCAACCAAAAGUCCGAACUUAUGGAAAGGGCUAGUGCAAUCCACAUAUACUGUAACAAUAGUCACUUGCUCUUUCAGCGGGCUGUUUCAUCCCUUGGAGGAAGCACACCCUUUCAGAAUACCAUGCAAACUCCACAUAGAAUAGCUCUCAGCCAAUGGCUAGACUUGUAUGUGUCAGGCAUGCAACAGAUUCUCAAUGGUAUUGGGAACUUCUCAACCAACUCGGAGAGGAAUGUGAGCGGUGCAUUCUAUUUUGCAGAUGGCAAGGCAGUUGUCGUCACAGGAAGAAAGAAGGAUCAGGGAUAUCAAUUACCUGCUUGAAGAGAUACAACACCGAAGUUGAAUUGUUUGUUGAGUUGAUUGCUGUAACUUGGUGAAAUUACUAGUUUCUAAUGGUAAAGAGCAUGAAUAUUGACAAUUAUCUAAGUAUGUUCUAGACUGCUCCUCGAAGAAUACUUGAAUGGUAAAUAGGAUAGUCAAAUUCUGGAAGAUUCCAUGGAUGCAACUUAUUGCUAAUGCACCGAGUCAGUUUCUGUAUAUAUGCCGGUUCUUAAUACCGGCAGUAACCUCGAUAGGGUUUCACGCGUAACCAGAAGGCCAAAAGGGAGUCACAUGAGGCAGUUACCCAGGUCCAGUCCAGGUCCUCACGGUGGAGAGUUCCAAGAAUGUUUUGGAAGGCAACUUGAAGACUUUGGUUCCGUUAUUUUAGAAUCACGUGGACGACAGGUGCUGCACACUUCGGUGUAAAGAGGUGUCUGAAAAACUGCGAGGGAGGUGGUUGUUCGGGGCGUCAUAUAUAACCAUAUUCCAGAAUGGUUAGGCAGAUGCUCAGUAUGCUACCAAUACAUUGUAGCGACACCAGCAAUUGUACUUCUGUAGCAUGUAGCGACACCAGCAAUUGUACUUCUGUAGCAUGCCAAAAUAGUAAAUAAGAACAUAACAACUUUGUUCUCUUGGAAA